rnacentral:misc_RNA from 1 species
AGACCAUGUUUUGAAAGAAUCAUAUCUUUUAUCCUUCAAUUUUUUAUUGUUAUGAGACUUUGUAACAUUAACUCCCAGCUCAACUGCACAUCCCUUUGGCAUUGGCUGAGAAUGAAAUUUUGUUUGUUUUCUCUGCGAGCUGGCGGCCACAGAUUUAGCAGAAGAAAAAGAAAUUCCAUUGCCUAAACUUGUUUCUCCAUUAUCUUCAAAAAGAACUUUUUCAUUGAUCUCUGAGUUGUUUCCCCUUGGAGAAGUUGGCAUGCUAA